UCUGGGCUCGAGCCUGCCUGGAGCCGCCGCCGGUGCAGAUCUUGGUGGUAGUAGCAAAUACUCCAGCGAGGCCCUGGAGGACUGAUGUGGAGAAGGGUUUCGUGUGAACAGCCGUUGCACACGAGUCAGUCGAUCCUAAGCCCUAGGAGAAAUCCGACGCCUACGGCGACGGGAAAAAUUUUCGAAAGAAAUCCACCCGUUGAUCGGGCGAAAGGGAAUCCGGUUCCUAUUCCGGAACCCGGCAGCGGAACCGCUGUUUGUCGGGCCCUCACAAGGGGUUCGUCAGGGUAACCUAAAAGGGCCCGGAGACGCCGUCGGGAGCCCCGGAAAGAGUUUUCUUUUCUGCAUGAGCGUUCGAGUUCCCUGGAAUCCUCUCGCAGGGAGAUAGGGUUUGGAACGCGAAGAGCACCGCAGUUGCGGCGGUGCCCGGGAAUUCCCGACGGACCUUGAAAAUCCGGGAGAGGGCCACGUGGAGGUGUCGCGCCGGCUCGUACCCAUAUCCGCAGCAGGUCUCCAAGGUGAAGAGCCUCU
rnacentral:rRNA from 1 species